CCAAUAGCGUAUAUUAAAGUUGUUGCAGUUAAAAAGCUCGUAGUUGAAUUUCGGGAUCAGUACGCUGGUCGUGCCUUCGGUAUGCACUGGUGUCACUGGUUCCUCCCUUCUGACGAACCAUGAUGUCAUUAAUUUGGUGUUAUGGGAAGUUAGGACUGUUACUUUGAAAAAAUUAGAGUGUUUAAAGCAGGCUUUAGCUUGAAUACAUUAGCAUGGAAUAAUGAAAUAGGACGUUCGAACCUAUUUUGUUGGUUUCUAGGAUCAACGUAAUGAUUAAUAGGGAUAGUUGGGGGCAUUAGUAUUCAAUUGUCAGAGGUGAAAUUCUUGGAUUUAUUGAAGACUAACUACUGCGAAAGCAUUUGCCAAGGAUGUUUUCAUUAAUCAAGAACGAAAGUUAGGGGAUCGAAGACGAUCAGAUACCGUCGUAGUCUUAAUCAUAAACUAUGCCGACUAGGGAUCGGAUGAUGUUAAUUUUUUAAUGACUCAUUCGGCGCCUUACG
rnacentral:rRNA from 1 species